CCCACUGAGCACACGUGACUCCACACUGGACAGCCCAUAGUCAUCCACUGAAGUUUACCUGAGGAGCUUGGGAAAGAAAGCGUCUGGACUUCAAGUUGCUUGAAGAUGUUUCACCUCUCAUCUGAGAAGCUUCUUAAGUUCUAGGGUCAAAUGGUGGAGACACAGAUUUAAGCCCUGUGGGAGUGUCCCUCCGAGAGGGACAAUGGACCCUCUAAUGAUCCUCUACCUAAUCACACAAGCCAAGGUGUGAAAAUGGGUGUAGGUCACAAUCAGCCAAGGUUUUGGGUGAGCUCAUUGUGAAACCUAGCCCCACCCUAUCAUGUGAUUUCCUGAGGUCAGAUGGCCCAGGAUAUCCUUUGGUAUCCAUGUCAGAUUCACCCCCUUACAUUCAAAAUACCAAAAUGAAGAUUGCAGACAUGCUCAACUUGAGGCUUCAUAAUGGGACUUCUCCAGCUGGUGGAUAAUGCUGUGGUGGCUCCAUCCAUCUUUCAUAUACAGUUUAUGUAAAAAACAAGCAUAGUUGUGUUUAGAGGUGCAAAUAUAAAUAUAAAAAUGUGGUUAGGGUUGUACAUAUUUUUUAUAUUGUUAUAUUUAACUACUAAUCAAUAAGUCCUAAUAAUAGAACAUAUCAAUCGACUGUCAUUUUUAAACCAUACAUGGAAGAUUAUGGCCUUUGUGAGAGCUGGAGUUUAAACCACCCUGAUGAUCAAGAAUUCACUUACUUUUCCAAGUCCAUCAUUCAUCAUCGAGAAUAUAUUUUUCCCCCAGCUAGUAAUUCCCGUCAUCCAAAGCGAUCAUAAACCUGUCUCUUUGAAACUCAAUAAAAAAUGGCAACAAAAAUCGACCACCUGAUGGUGCUUGAACACAUCUUUGCUAAAAAAGUAGGACUUAAAUAAUAUUUUAAAGAGAAUGGACAUCCUUUUUGGAUAUAAAUGAUUCUCCCAAUAUUUAUUAACUUUAUUAUAGGAAACUGGCAUAGCUGUUUUAAGGGGCAGGAUUAUCUCAUACUCAUCCUAUAAAAAGGAAAAAGACACAAUUUGGAAGAAAAAAUUAAAAUGUUGAAAAGAAAU
ensembl:lncRNA